CGUUGAAUCAAAGUCCGCAAAUAACCACUGUAAAAACGUCGCAAAGUUUAUGGUUUAUCAACCUUAGACAUCAGCUGCUUUUUUAACGUAUUUAACCUAUUUAUAAAACAACGCUCAUUCAACGUUACAUAUACCAACGUUGAAAGUGUAGUAAUCAAAAAACGUUGAAAAAGUGUUACUUUUUUGCCAACAUUAAUAAAACAUUUCUUUGACAACGUUGAGGAAGUGGCACAUUGAAAAUUAUUGUCUCAAUUACAAAAAUAAUUUGCCGUAAUGGAAAGGCAAGGAAAACAUAAUAGAAUGCAUGCAUAUGGUUUAAAAAUAUUUUAAUAAAGUUGUAUUUUAUAACCUAUUUUUAUUGAGAAUAACUUAAAACUUAGGUUUUAUAUCAAAUUGUAUAAAUAUACAAAUAUCUCAGGGGUUGAAGCAGAGGCAUUUAUUCCAUCUUGUUAGGUGAAAGAUGGAUGUUUAUUUUGUUCAACUGGUGUUCAUGCAAUGAAAACUGCCUAUAAUCAUUUUCCAAUCGAUGAUUUCUGCAACAAGCUCAGACUUAAAAGAGUUAAAGUAACUGGAGUUACUAAAAGAUAAAGAAGUAUGCAAAGGAUUUAAUUUCCCAACUACAGAGUACUCCAACGAAUUAAAGUUUUGGUGGAUAAGGAUCGAGGAAUAAUAUGGUUUUAACUGGUUUCCAUCUUAUGAACAAAAUUCUGUAUCUCAAUAAUAUCCUGACCUAUCGAAUCGAUAUCUUGGUAAUACACUUUCACAAAUUAAUCUUUUAAAAAAAUGUUUAUAUU